AUUUAUUCUCUACAACUUGUUUAAUGUAUAUUAAUGCUCAAAAUAAAGGUUUGUCCAUUAAAUGGGAAUGCUUAUAAAAAGUUUGGAAAGGAGGCUAGAGAUACAAGUAAUUUUAAUAAGCUCAUAGAUUUAAACGGCUAGAUAAAUUAUAGACCAUCAGGAGCAUCACUAGACCAAUAAUAACAAUAAGAAAACAUUAGAACGUUAAACAAAUGUUAGGUCUAUCGUACAAAUGAAGAGAAUAAUUCAUGGUAAGACUGACAUGCAUUGCUAUUUUUUUAAUUUUUAAUUAAGAUCAGACUCAAGGUCCAUUUUAUUAAUAAUUAAACAGGUCCAUACAACCCAAAACAAUGACAAAGACCAAUAAAAAAGAUCCAAACCUAAUCCAACAAAGAUCAGAUUUGGCUUAUAAAAUGGUCCCCUCAAGUGGGGUUUCCAAAUUUGUUGUUCAUUUUCACUGCCUCUUUGCUUUCUCCAUCUCUGAAAAUGGCUUUGUCCUUUUCAAAUGCUCAGCUACGUAUCCUUUUGCUAUGGGUGAUGAAAUAUCGUCAUCUUGAUGAUGAUGUGGCAUUUCUUCUGAGCUUGCAGAAGUGUGUGGUCCAGUGGAAGUGUAAGAGCUUGAAGAAAGCUCCAAAUUGGGUUUGAACCUUGCAUCUUGACUUUGUAGUUCAUGAUGAAGCAGAAGUGGAGAAAAACAAGUUGCUCCCGACCUCCUUCUCUUAGAAUUCUUAGUCAAGUGUAGUCGCUUUAUUGAAAAUCUGGUUCCAUAACCCUUUCUUUUGAUGGUGUUUCUUUUUGUUGGCCGAUGUAGCUUAGGAUAGUUAGCUUUCUCACAGUCAUUUUGCCUUUGUGCAAUCCACAAACAUUAAUGUAAAUAUAAUGGCUGUAAGAUA